UCCUACACAGAGAUCCGAAUUUUCUCGAGGAUCAGGAUUGAAAGUCGAAAUGUGGGUGCGAGAAACGUUAACGUUGCCAAUACAGAAAGUAGAAGAUGUAACGAGACAUGAAAAGACUCUCGCGAUCGUGUUACAUGAAAUAACCAUAAACGUGGAAAUUCCAACAUAUCCUCUUCUUCGUUUGCAAUCGGCGGUGACCUAGUAACCAUGAUGCUCAACAGGAGGAGGAGGAGGUACGAUUUCACUCGCUUCGGGAUUCGUCUUACAUACAUACAUUUGUUGAACAUUUACAUACAUACUUACAUACAUUUCUAAUGGUGCAUGUCGAUAGAAUCGGAGGGUGAAAGCGAGCAAUCGUUUCCGAAUCGAAUGGUUUCGAGUUAAACCUGCAAUCAAUGUUCGUCACUCUCUCAUGAGGUUUUCGAAGGAAAUUUCUAAAGUAUUCAAGAUUCGUAGUUUGUGUAAGAUAUAUCGAAAAUGCAAAGAAAUUAUAUAUAAUAUUCUCAUAAUGAUUUGAAAAAUUCAAUAGAAAUUCAUAACAAUUCACAAAUACAUUAAAAAUUUCAAUAAUAAAAUUGAUAUGGAAAAUAUAUUUAAAAAUUUAUGCCUUGAAUAUAAAAUUUCGGCAAGGAAAUUUUUUAAAAUACAAAUUCUCAAACAGAAAUGUAUGUAAAGGUAAGAAUAAAAGGGAUAAAUAUUAGAAUUAAAUAAAAUGGUAAAAAAAUAAUAGAAAAAUUAUUUCUUGCAAACAUGAAAUCACAAUACAAUAAGUAUGCAAAUGUAAGUAUAACAGGUAAGUUAAAUUCAUUAAAUUCAUUACAAAAAGAAAAUCUUAAACGUGUCAUUACAUAUUGAAUUAUAUCCUCCUACUACAAAACCGAUAAAUUGAUCAAAAAUUGUUCUACAAAAUAUUUUGAUAUUUAAUUAGAAAAACAUACUUCUAGAAGAGAUGGCUCGCGAAAUUUUUCGUAAAAUUAUUAAUUUGGUAGUUAUUCGACCUCGCCGAGAAUUUUGUGAUACUCCACAAAAUUCUCAGCGAGGGCCAAGAAACCGUCAUCGACAUAAGAGGGGGCUUGUGUCGAUCAAAUGGCGGCUUCAAUAGAUAGCGAUGCCGGUGUGGCCCCGGCAUCGCUAAAAACAUUUGGGGGGGAUUUCAUCCGCUCUCAGGAAAGUAUCAAAAAGAGAAAAAGCACGGGAAGUACCGGAACUGUUCGAAAACAGAUUCCGAUGCUUCCAAAAGGUAAGCCAGGCCACCGUGGGGGUUUUAG